AGGUGAUAAAAACCGUUAUAGCCAACGAUGUCCGAAUGGGGAAACCCACCUAGCAUAAGCUAGGUAUCAUUAUCUGAAUACAUAGGGUAAUGAAGCGAACCGGGAGAACUGAAACAUCUAAGUACCCCGAGGAAAAGAAAUCAACCGAGAUUUCGUUAGUAGCGGCGAGCGAACGCGAAUCAGCCCUUAAGCUUAUUGGGCGCUAGUGGAAGGUUCUGGAAAGGACCACGAUACAGGGUGAUAGUCCCGUACACUAAAGCAACCUUUAAGUGAAAUCGAGUAGGACGGAGCACGUGAAACUUUGUCUGAAUAUGGGGGGACCAUCCUCCAAGGCUAAAUACUACUAACUGACCGAUAGUGAACCAGUACCGUGAGGGAAAGGCGAAAAGAACCCCUGUGAGGGGAGUGAAAUAGAACCUGAAACCG
rnacentral:rRNA from 1 species